rnacentral:rRNA from 1 species
GAUGAACGCUGGCGGCGUGCCUAAUACAUGCAAGUCGAGCGAACAGACGAGGAGCUUGCUCCUCUGACGUUAGCGGCGGACGGGUGAGUAACACGUGGAUAACCUACCUAUAAGACUGGGAUAACUUCGGGAAACCGGAGCUAAUACCGGAUAAUAUAUUGAACCGCAUGGUUCAAUAGUGAAAGACGGUUUUGCUGUCACUUAUAGAUGGAUCCGCGCCGCAUUAGCUAGUUGGUAAGGUAACGGCUUACCAAGGCAACGAUGCGUAGCCGACCUGAGAGGGUGAUCGGCCACACUGGAACUGAGACACGGUCCAGACGCCUACGGGAGGCAGCAGUAGGGAAUCUUCCGCAAUGGGCGAAAGCCUGACGGAGCAACGCCGCGUGAGUGAUGAAGGUCUUCGGAUCGUAAAACUCUGUUAUUAGGGAAGAACAAAUGUGUAAGUAACUAUGCACGUCUUGACGGUACCUAAUCAGAAAGCCACGGCGAACUACGU